rnacentral:rRNA from 1 species
AUACGGAGGGUGCAAGCGUUACCCGGAAUCAUUGGGCGUAAAGCGUCCGCAGGUGGUUUAUUAAGUCAGAUAUUAAAUCUUGGGGCCCAACUCCAAGGCUGUAUCUGAAACUGAUAGACUAGAGUCUUUCAGGGGCAAGCAGAAUUCUGUGUGUAGGGGUAAAAUCCGUAGAUACACAGAGGAAUACCAAAAGCGAAGGCAGCUUGCUGGGAAAGUACUGACACUCAUGGACGAAAGCGUAGGUAGCGAACGGGAUUAGAAACCCCAGUAGUCC